UACGAAGGGGGCUAGCGUUGUUCGGAAUCACUGGGCGUAAAGCGCACGUAGGCGGAUCUUUAAGUCAGGGGUGAAAUCCCGAGGCUCAACCUCGGAACUGCCUUUGAUACUGGGGAUCUCGAGUCCGGGAGAGGUGAGUGGAACUGCGAGUGUAGAGGUGAAAUUCGUAGAUAUUCGCAAGAACACCAGUGGCGAAGGCGGCUCACUGGCCCGGAACUGACGCUGAGGAGCGAAAGCGUGGGUAGCGAACAGG
rnacentral:rRNA from 1 species